GUUGCUGUCAAAAGGCUGGAACCAUUUGAGAAUGGUUCACCGGAGAGGCAGAGCAAGUCUGUCAAGCGAAGGAUACAGCAGGAGCUGGAAAUGUUAGCUAGCUUGAGACACAGGAAUUUGAUGAGUUUGCGGGCUUAUGUUCGGGAAUCUGAUAGGUUUUCACUGGUCUACGAUUAUGUGCGAACUGGGAGUCUUGAAGAUGCAAUGAAUAGAGUAAGGGAGAAUCAGUUGCAGCUCGGAUGGGAAGUUCGUCUUCGGAUUGCUGUUGGGGUUGUUAAGGGGCUUCGAUAUCUUCACUUCGAAUGCGUCCCUCAGAUUUUGCAUUAUAAUUUGAAACCCACAAAUGUGAUGUUGGAUGCGGAGUUUGAACCGAGGUUGGCAGAUUGUGGGUUGGCUAAGCUCAUGCCUAAUUUGGAUAGAACUACAUCUGGCUACAGUGCUUCCGAGUGCUUCCAGAAUUGCCGGUAUACUGACAAGAGUGACAUCUUCAGCUUUGGGAUGAUAUUGGGUGUUUUAUUAACUGGGAGAGACCCUACAGAUCCAUUCUUUGGGGAAGCAGCCAGUGGAGGUAGUUUAGGUCAUUGGCUUCGGCAUUUACAGCAGGCAGGGGAG
rnacentral:misc_RNA from 1 species